rnacentral:rRNA from 1 species
AAUAGCUCACUAGUCGAGUGACACUGCGCCGAAAAUGUACCGGGGCUAAACAUAUUACCGAAGCUGUGGAUUGUCCUUUGGACAAUGGUAGGAGAGCGUUCUAAGGGCGUUGAAGCAUGAUCGUAAGGACAUGUGGAGCGCUUAGAAGUGAGAAUGCCGGUGUGAGUAGCGAAAGACGGGUGAGAAUCCCGUCCACCGAUUGACUAAGGUUUCCAGAGGAAGGCUCGUCCGCUCUGGGUUAGUCGGGUCCUAAGCUGAGGCCGACAGGCGUAGGCGAUGGAUAACAGGUUGAUAUUCCUGUACCACCUAUAAUCGUUUUAAUCGAUGGGGGGACGCAGUAGGAUAGGCGAAGCGUGCGAUUGGAUUGCACGUCUAAGCAGUAAGGCUGAGUAUUAGGCAAAUCCGGUACUCGUUAAGGCUGAGCUGUGAUGGGGAGAAGACAUUGUGUCUUCGAGUCGUUGAUUUCACACUGCCGAGAAAAGCCUCUAGAUAGAAAAUAGGUGCCCGUACCGCAAACCGACACAGGUAGUCAAGAUGAGAAUUCUAAGGUGAGCGAGCGAACUCUCGUUAAGGAACUCGGCAAAAUGACCCCGUAACUUCGGGAGAAGGGGUGCUCUUUAGGGUUAACGCCCAGAAGAGCCGCAGUGAAUAGGCCCAAGCGACUGUUUAUCAAAAACACAGGUCUCUGCUAAACCGUAAGGUGAUGUAUAGGGGCUGACGCCUGCCCGGUGCUGGAAGGUUAAGAGGAGUGGUUAGCUUAUGCGAAGCUACGAAUCGAAGCCCCAGUAAACGGCGGCCGUAACUAUAACGGUCCUAAGGUAGCGAAAUUCCUUGUCGGGUAAGUUCCGACCCGCACGAAAGGCGUAACGAUUUGGGCACUGUCUCAA